GAUGAACGCUGGCGGCGUGCUUUAACACAUGCAAGUCGAACGAGAAGUGAAGACGGAAACCUUCGGGCGGAAGGCUUUAUUUCGAGUGCGGACGGGUGAGUAACGCGUGGGUAACCUGCCUCAUACAGGGGGAUAACAGUUGGAAACGACUGUUAAUACCGCAUAAGACCACAGCACCGCAUGGUGCGGGGGUAAAAACUCCGGUGGUAUGAGAUGGACCCGCGUUCGAUUAGCCAGUUGGCGGGGUAACGGCCCACCAAAGCGACGAUCGAUAGCCGAUCUGAGAGGAUGACCGGCCACAUUGGGACUGAGACACGGCCCAAACUCCUACGGGAGGCAGCAGUGGGGAAUAUUGCACAAUGGGGGAAACCCUGAUGCAGCGACGCCGCGUGAGUGAAGAAGUAUUUCGGUAUGUAAAGCUCUAUCAGCAGGGAAGAAAAUGACGGUA
rnacentral:rRNA from 1 species